rnacentral:rRNA from 1 species
GGGCGUAAGAGCUCGUAGGCGGUUUGUCGCGUCUGCUGUGAAAACUGGAGGCUCAACCUCCAGCCUGCAGUGGGUACGGGCAGACUAGAGUGCGGUAGGGGAGAUUGGAAUUCCUGGUGUAGCGGUGGAAUGCGCAGAUAUCAGGAGGAACACCGAUGGCGAAGGCAGAUCUCUGGGCCGUAACUGACGCUGAGGAGCGAAAGGGUGGGGAGCAAACAGGCUUAGAUACCCUGGUAGUCCACCCCGUAAACGUUGGGAACUAGUUGUGGGGACCUUUCCACGGUUUCCGUGACGCAGCUAACGCAUUAAGUUCCCCGCCUGGGGAGUACGGCCGCAAGGCUAAAACUCAAAGGAAUUGACGGGGACCCGCACAAGCGGCGGAGCAUGCGGAUUAAUUCGAUGCAACGCGAAGAACCUUACCAAGGCUUGACAUAUACGAGAACGGGCCAGAAAUGGUCAACUCUUUGGACACUCGUAUACAGGUGGUGCAUGGU